rnacentral:lncRNA from 1 species
GGCUUUAGUGUGGGUGCAUGUCCCUUGACUUCUGAUGGAGUAUUAGGAUGUGAAAGCUAUCCGGGCAGUGGUACGGCUCGCCAGUGAGCUGGUUUUUCUUGAUGAGUGCACGAUGGACCUCCGGUGGCUGGGGUUUGCCUGUGCCUGCAUCAAAAUUGACCUUGGCCACCCGUUGUGACUGGGGGUUCUGGUGAUGGGGCC